AUGUUCUCCUUGCAGUCGCUUAGCCGCAUCAACAACAUCCGCACGGCUCUGCUUCAUGCGCAGAAGGGAACCCAGCCGGUCGCCACCUUCUUCGCCCACAUGCGCGGCCUCACCGAUGAGCUCGUCGCGGUCGGCAAAUCUCUCCAAGACGACGAGAUCGUCUCCUACAUCAUCCACGUGCUGGACAUGGAGUACCAGCCCCUGGUGUCGGCCCUUGACGCUCGCACCUCUCCCGUCACCCUGGAUGAGUUGUUCACCAUGCUCAGCAACUUCGAUCAGCGCAUGGCACUCUACCAGGGGUCGGGUGGU
rnacentral:rRNA from 1 species